rnacentral:tRNA from 1 species
UAGGUUGUAGUUUAUAUUAGAAUUAGGGCUUUGGGAGCCUUAGGUGCCCCUUGGGGUCAACUUAA